rnacentral:misc_RNA from 1 species
CACGUGGAAGUUCCAUAAUAAAAUUUGAUAGGUCAAGGGGUUUAGUGGUAUUACAGAGACUGAGAGGUUUAUGACUAAUUGGUGAAUGUUGCUACUCAAGAAAAGACAAGAAAGCAACCAUAAAGCAAACCACUGAACAUACUAUUAACUUUGUUCAUAUUAUGUAUCUAUUUCAUUGCAUAAGAUAUGUGUAUUACUCGAUUGGAUUUCUUUUGAUACUUUUAACAGUCAUGCUCAUAGGAUGUUCUUAUAUGUAACUUUACACUUGAUUGAG